GUUCAAAAAACAAACAAACAUGUAUAUGUGGAAAAAUAUUAUAUUCAACCCUCAUUCCGUAAUGAUCCGUUUUUAAGGGGCAGCUCCUUUAAGGCUUGUCUGUAACGGCCACUAAAAUCAUUGCAUAGAAAACAGUGUAAACGUCCACUCGCUAUUGCAUGCGAGUAUGUUUUUGAAAACAUUAUCCAUAUAAAGUGUAAAGUGUAUCCAUAUAAAUGCGUUUUUUCGUAUUCGUGAUUCUGUGGCUGUGAAUUGUCAAAACACCAUUCAAACAGCUCGCUACGGAUGCAAAAAACGCAGAAAAACGAAACCGAUCCGAUUUUUUUUUAUGACGGACAAAAGUUUCGGAGGCAGUGUGCAAGCGUGAUUGACAUAACGUGAGGUCGUAUUUAUUUUUUUAAUGAGCGGAAACUUUGGACACGAAUUUCGGACUCAGUGUGCAAGAGCCUUAAGUUAAGACCGUCGUUUACAGACAAAGCAUUAUGAAAUUACUUAUGGUUUGCAAUGCAGCUGCUAUCAGAUCCAAUAUAGCUGACUGCUUCAUCUUUAAACAAAAGAUUUUGCGAACUCUUCCUUACACUGUGCCUCAUUUACAAAACUAUCUGGAGGCAAAUUCUCCUUACAAACAUAUAGUCCUCCGACGUGAGACGUCACAAAUCCCAACAGAAAUAGAAAUCACAGACCUCUUAUAUGUCAAAGGUCAAGGCAAAUUUGAAAAUGAAUCGCAUUUUUAAUGUAUCUUAUGAUAUUGACCCUCAAUGAAUCAUUUUCGGGUGUACACAGUAAAGUGAGAUAAAUUGCAUCAAUAAUGUAUGUCAUUUUUCUGUCCCUAAGUCUUUUGAUCAGUCUCACCGGCUCUGUCGGGUCUUGCUGAAGGGGGUGUGGCCGAGGUAAACAAGGCCUCGUCGACAGCGGGGGAAGCGGAGUGCGACAAACAGCAGUGAGACCGGCAACACAAACAGGAAAAUGACCAAAAGAGCCACCCGCGCAGGAUCUGAAUCUUACCUCUGGGUUCUCGAGCAGGGCCGCUGUCCACACUGCCUCCGGUUCCAGAAUAUCUGCAGUCAGGAGGAGCCCAGCCCUCAGCACAGUGACAAUUCUUAUUACUGUUACACACCUACAGACAAAAUAGAGAAGGAGAAAGUGAAACUGCAAGUUUAAGUGACACAUCCCUCUUUUUCUGCUCCUCCCCCUCCCCCUCCUCACCCCGUGACCAUUGCAGUUCCUUCGACAUUCUUCAACACCAAACAUGGACACGUCCCUGCAUCGUUGGUCCACACAUGCCUAAAAAUACAAUGUUACAAAAAAAAUCAAACAUACGAUAAAUGUAAUUUUGUAUAAAUUUCGAAUAAAAAGUAUUUUUACUACGUCA